GGUAAAUAUCCUUGGAAUUCAGAACUUUAAUGAGAUCUCAGAAUUUGAUCUGUCCUAUAUCUGUCGUCUCCUCUUAAGAAUAGUGAUUUUUUCAUAUACACAUUAUUCUGUGUAUAUUGUGUAUAUGAAAAUGUUUAUUAUGUAUAUGUAUAUGUGUAUAUGUAAAUAUAUAUUGUAUGUAUGUGUAUAUUGUGUAUUAUUGAUGAAUAGUACAUGCUCUGUCACAGCCUGGCAUGAGGUUUUCUUCUCUCUUCCUCUUCUCUGAAAGGCUAGUCAGAGUCUGAAGACUGCAGUUAGUGUUUAGCCCAGUGAAUGUGAUGGAGGGAGGGGUUGAGCAUGGACCACUUUCUUCUAGGGUCACCUAAGUGGAGUGGGCUGGCAAGCAGGUUCUCGGAACACAGCAGAUAAUGGCUGAGAGUGGGCAGGUUGCCACUUGUUUCCCAUUAUUCUUACCUUAAAAAAUCUUGGUGGAAGCUCAAAAUUUGAGGUGUAUGGUGAUACUCCUUUCUAAUUUCUACUGUUGCUUGAGUUUCCCCUUUUAUAUUGAUUGAGUCGUCUCGGGGGAACAGGGAGCUAAUCGAAUAUGUAUUUUUAGGUUAUCGUGUGAGUAUUGCUUCUCCUUAAGCUUGUUUGAAUAGAGGUUGAUUCAGGUAUUUAACAGGAAGAAAGGAAAUAGUUUAAAACCUGCUAUUUUCUGGAAACUUUAGGUUAUCUCUCGAAAUGAAUAUAAAGUAGCCUCCGUGAACAGAUUGGAUUUAUGUGCUGAAGACCAGAAGUUCACCUCUCUUCCUCUGUUAUUCUGUACUACUCUGAUCUCCUCUAAAGUGCAUAUCAGGUACUAUCAUUGGCGUCGUUUAUGUAGUCAACAAAUAUUUCUUGUGCACCUGUGAGCCAGGAGGUGGUGCUGGGGACCAUAAAGAUAGCUUCUUUUCCUGUUAAAAAAUUGCUGAGAUUUUUUUGAUAACCUUUGACAUUCCAUAUUCUGCUUUGUACAUGGUGAAUGCCUACUGCUGUGCACCAGUGUGCCCACUUGUGUGCCUAUAAAGUACAAGCUCCCGAUUGAAAAAGCUUCUAGAUGGAUCCUUUCCAAAUUUGGUGUCUUUUCUACAAACUCUGUGCCUCAACAACCGUUUCUAAGUGGUAAGAGUAUGUACCUUUUUUUUUAAGAAUAAUAGAAAUUUGUAACACAAUUUUUGUUUAGAUUGCCUUCCCCUUUUUUGUGUCUUCUUCUCUUUUUACAUAUGAGUGAUAUCUGCACUUUUUUUUUUGGUUAAUAUUUUAAAAAUCUCUUCUAAAAAUAGCAGUAACAUCAGGUUUGUGGAAGCUUCAAAAUGUUCUUUCCAUAUUAUAUUCUGGGUGGAGUAUAAUACGUAAUAUUUAUAGAGAAUAAAUAUAGCAAUGUAUAAACAUCUUUAUGUGUGUGUACUUUGUGUACUCUAUAAUCCGUUAUUGUAAGGCUGAGGUAGUUUAUCCUGUUUUUUCCUGUCUAUUUAGGUAUUUGGAGUCCCCUGGGUCCAGAACAUCUUCUUACUUCAUAGCAAUUGUAAAUUAUGUAUGCAUUUAUGGAAAUGAUGAGAGAAGUGUAUAAUGCCAGCUCUUCUUUUUAUAGCAUGGCACUAUGUGUGCCUUUUCAUGUUCUAACAUUUUUUGGAAGCGUAGGUGCUAGUUAGCCAACACAUUUUCUGAACAUCUCUGAGAUUUACUCAGAACAUAUUUUGGGGAGGGGACCGAGGGAGACAGAAGAGUAAAAUUGAGCGGAACAAGUUGCUGCUAUAGGAGACCUUUAAAAUAAAAUUACUGAAGUAGGCUCAUUUUGAGUGCCAGUCAACAAAUAUUUACCAAAUGCUUGCUAUUUAUGAGUGAAAAUAUAUAAUGACAUUUAGCAUUGAAAAGAAGUGAGUCACGAGAUGGAAACCAAGGUGUUAGAUGAGAGUGCGAGGCAGGGAGGUUGGGGGAAGAAUGGGGUACACUUUAACUUGAGUUCUGUUCAUUAACUGCGUAAUGUUCUUGGGUGCAAGUUAAUUAGCCUUGGUGCACCUUGGUUUUCUCUAUGAAAUGAGUGAAUUAAACUAAAUGAUUUAUAAGGUUUUUUUGGUGCUUUCAUACACCCAGCACUUUAUGAUUGUAAUGAACAAAUUGAUUUUUGUUUUUUUGAGGAUACCUUUUCUUCCCUAAUCUAUCCGAUAGAGAUAUUUUUAGACUAUUUUCUUUGAGUUAUGGGGUUAGAAUAACGUCCUCACUAUUAGAACAUUUUUCAAUUAAUUGUUUUCUUUUGAAGUUGAUGUCUUUUAUUCUUUUCUCUCUACAUUUUUAUCCUCUGUUGACCUCUAGAAUUUUUCUUCAUUUGAUUCACAUGUUCCCCUUCUGUCUCUUAUAUUAGUGGCUCUCAUCAUGCUUCCUUGACCUGACUGACAUCCAUCAUUUUCACCUUAGUCAUUUUCCAGGGUUACUAAAUUGUAAACUAGUGGUUCCAAUCCUGGGACCCUUUUAAAAAAUACGGAUAUCUUCUGAAAUGAUCCUGGGACAGAGGUGUGAUUCUUGGCAGGUAGCCAGAAGCAGUUAGUAAACCAGCAUUAGUUUAGCAGGACUGGAGCCCCAAACUUCUGUGCACUUUUCAUACCCCAUCACUUCUCAUCAUCACCUGGAACACUUCCACUUCUGAGGUCUUGAAAAGUUCCCUCUCAUGAUCAUAACCCUCUAUCAUGUCACGCUUUCUGAGUCUGUUCUUUGUCUUUGUUAUGACUUGUACUUUCUUGGCAUUUCCAUG
rnacentral:lncRNA from 1 species